ACGCUGGCGGCGUGCUUAACACAUGCAAGUCGAACGGAGCACCCUUGAUUGAGGUUUCGGCCAAAUGAUAGGAAUGCUUAGUGGCGGACUGGUGAGUAACGCGUGAGGAACCUGCCUUUCAGAGGGGGGACAACAGUUGGAAACGACUGCUAAUACCGCAUGACGCAUUUUGAUCGCAUGGUCGAAAUGCCAAAGAUUUAUCGCUGAAAGAUGGACCCGCGUCUGAUUAGCUAGUUGGCAGGGUAACGGCCUACCAAGGCGACGAUCAGUAGCCGACCUGAGAGGGUGACCGGCCACAUUGGGACUGAGACACGGCCCAGACUCCUACGGGAGGCAGCAGUGGGGAAUAUUGCACAAUGGAGGAAACUCUGAUGCAGCGACGCCGCGUGAGUGAAGAAGUAUUUCGGUAUGUAAAGCUCUAUCAGCAGGGAAGAUAAUGACGGUACCUGACUAAGAAGCACCGGCUAAAUACGUG
rnacentral:rRNA from 1 species